UUGACCUCGGAUCAGGUAGGAAUACCCGCUGAACUUAAGCAUAU
rnacentral:rRNA from 123 species